AUGGAUAGAAAACAACUCCCAGUUGAUAACUCAAGGCUAAGUGUCAGCCUACCAAGAUCACGGGAUGCCCUUGGUAAAUAUGAUGUUAGAAGACGCAUGGGGCGAGGUGAUACUGAGGAUCAAAUGAUACUGAAGUAGGAAUGGUGUGUGACUGAAAAUUAUCCACAAAUCUUCUCUUCUUUUUUACUGCACAGAUGCAAGACUUCCAGUUAAAAGAGCAUCAACAAUUUUAGUUUACAACAGACUAGUAGCAAUAAAAAUUUCACGUGAAUUACCUUUUAGAGUUUGAUAAGGCCAAAUAAGUUAUUUAAUUGCACUGAGAAGGGAGCACUUCCUCAUGGAGAAGUUGUAAUGUUUCUUUUUUUUCCUUUAGACACGUGCAUAAGGUACUAAAUUUAUAAUUGUGGUAUAAUAAUUGUCAUAACAAGGGAAAUGUUGUAUUUCUUUGUCUAAAUGUUUUAUUUUACUUUCCUUAUAUACUAAUACAUUUGCUGCUUUUGUUCUUUUAAAGAUGAAUAUUUUAGUAUUUUUGUUGGACUCUUGUAACUCCAUAACAAUGUCAAAAGGGUAUUGAAAUCAGCCUUAAGAAACCUAGUAACAUUUGUAUUAUAAAUUCUUAGUUUGUAGGGCAACUUACCAUGGAUUCUGAACAGGGUAGGGUUUGAAUCCCCUAUGGAGAUUAAACUCAGGCUUUAGUACGGAAGAAAGAUCAGUGUUCUUCAUUGAUUUUGUGGUAGUCAGCUUCAACCCUUUAACUCCCAAAAGUGAUUAAAAUAUAACUUCUCCCCAUAAUUUCCCUACAUUAUCCUUCAAACAGGUAAUGAUUAAACUCGCACUUAUUAGGUAGAACUUUUUAUCUUGAUCUAAAACUAAAUUCUUGUAACUUACUAACCUGGAAAUGUUUAGCUGCCAGAGAGGAGAAUUAACAAUCUGAUCUUGAGAGUUAAAGGGUUUGAAAAACAUAAGAUGGCAGCAAACAAUUGAGGGGCAAAAAUGGCACAAACAUCUAUCCUACUAGCAUUAAUUCCCUCUUGCUUUUCCUUGCUACUCGACUCAUUUAGGAAGAAAUUAGGCUGCAAACGUAAUGUUAACGGCUGCAAAUGCAAUUUUAAACUAUUGUAAUUCGAUUAGAAUCCAUUUUUCCUAGUUAUGAAUUCAUUUAAAUCACUCACUUUCAAAUUAAGGGCAUAAUGUUGACCACUAGCAGUUCCUCCAGUGGAAUACUGCAAAUAAGGCUAGUUGUACUAUAAAGGAAACAAAGACCUCUUUUGUAAGUCUUCUAGAUUUUUAGGCUCAAACUUCAUUUUGUAGGUGUAGACGGAGCCACCGAUAUUAUUAGCAAUGCCUAUAAAAUUAAUUGAAAAAAAUUAUCAGGAUCCAUUAAAUUUAGUAGGCUCCUAAUUAGUAUGCUGUAAAUAACACUGAAGCCAUAGCUCUUUAAUAAAGUUCCAAUAGUGGUAAACAACGGUUCCUUAUCUCCCGGCCCCACCCCCCACUUAUCUGUUGCCUUUUUUUUUUUUUUUUUUUUGGUCUGGCAAGGAAUGUCCACUUUCUCACCCAGAUAUGCCCGUUUACUGGAAACUUUGUAUUGUACCCAGGCCAAAAUACUGAGACCUGCUUUUUGUUUAGUUUCAUUGCCUUUGCCUCAGAAUAAGUGCGGUGUGGAAAUUAUUCAGUCACAGUGCUGUAAUAACUUUUGACUCAUAAUCCGACAUCGCCCCAGAGUCGGAUGGUGCAACAUGUUGAGUGGCGCUACCCGACUUCUGAAUCAGAGUCGUGUUUCUGUCGUGCACAAGUCGAACCUAUUGCAAUCAAGUUUGGGACGGCAGAAGCACGAACUCUGCACUGAGCUUUCGGUUAUCCAUAGUUUAUACAGGAAUGACACCUUAGCUUGCCAAUGAAUUGGCUAACUAAUCCCCCUCACAAUACAUAUGCAAUUUCAAGCAUGCCCAUUGGCUGAGAGCACGUCGAUUAAUCCCAAAAAGUAAAAAAGGCUGAAAUUGCGUACAGGAAAUUGAAAUUGAAUUGAUAGUCAAGAAUGACUUGGAACGAAAUGGAAUGGAUAAAGGAUCAGAUUGAAUGGUUGGGCAGUGUCUCAAAGGAAAGUGCUUUCCGGUUAGCUGAGAAAAUAUGCAUUGGAUCGAAACGGUUGGCCGAGAGGGUAUGGAGGGAAACGAAACGGUCAGAAGACUGGUCAUGGAAAGUGAUAAAAAGCAGCUGUAAACCUCUGGAACCUGCGCUCGAAACAUCUUCUAAAGA